rnacentral:misc_RNA from 1 species
AAAAAAAAAAAAAAAAACAAGACAUAUUGUAUUUGGUUCAGGCUUCAUGUGGUACCUACCUAGUGGCUUUUUUUGUUUUUUAUGGAACUUGUGGAGGAAUCCUAUAAUAAAAAAGCACAAAAGGACAAAACAUGAUGCUGGAAAUGAAAAUCAUGUUUUUCUAUACCUUUUUUUUUUUGGAACUUCAAUUUCAUUACAUGGCCCUAUUCGGGCAUCAAGCUUACAAACAUGAUCAAGAGUUUGGGGAAAGGCCACUAGCCAAUUACAGGUCAAUUGAUUGCUAAAACAGAGUUUGGCAAAGUGGUGAGCAGCUAAAUUGGCCUUUCUGCAAGUUUUCCUGUACAGUGGUCAGCUUUUGCAAGUUUUGCAGGGAUAAUCUCUUUCCAAAUUGAAUAUAAUUCUAACUUUUCUAAAAUUUGGAUGACCAUUUUGGAGUUUCCAUAAUCUGACAGACUCCUGGUCCCUAUAGCGUUGAUUACUUGAGAAAAAAAAAACAUGACUAAUCUGACACUAAACCUGCUGCUGAUUCUGAAGUUUUGCUAUGCAGUAUUAAAGGUCAAGAAAGUUAGGUACGUAUGCAGUAGUUCUCUUUACUCUCUACUUUCUAUAAAUGAAGGCCUGGGUUCUCAAUUAUUUCUCUCAAUUUUCUCACUAUCAUAAUUAUGCAGGGAAAUGAUGGGGGGCCCUGGGACCAUUUUGUCCGCUAUUAGAAGAAAAUUUGGGUUUUCCAAGUUUUGGCAAUGGAGAUUGCCUAAAGAGUCAUAAUCUAAAUUUUGUUCUCUAAUGGCAGAUGAGUAAAGAAGUAUCAAUAUAAAAGAUUCUGAAGACUAUAAAUCCUGAAAAAGAUGUGGAAGUUGCUAGAAACCACAAAGUGUUAGCUUAUUAGGUGAAUUUAUGACUUAAUAAUCAUUUUACCUGACAAACUUGUUAUUAUUUUAUGUUACAGUGUGAAAGCAUGGGGGCAGUGGAGAAGAAGCUGAAGGACAUGGAAAUCAAGUACGUGCGAGCCAUGGUGGAGGAAGGUGGAGUCCAUGUGGAUCAACUCUUCUUCCAUGACCCAGAUGGAUUCAUGAUUGAAAUAUGCAAUUGUGAUAGUCUGCCUGUGAUUCCUCUAGCUGGAGAGAUGGUACGAACGUGCUCUCUUGUGAAUCUGCCUACAAUACAGCAUAACAAGCAGCAGAUCCAGCAGGUGGUCCAGCAGUAGAGAGUUGUAUAGAGGCCAGCAAUAGAUGUAAUUUGUCAAUAAAAUUGUGGGGCUAAGGGGUGUGGUCUUUAUUAUGUUUUGUGUAUGUGUUGGUUUUAGUUUCCUUUGUUUCUUUUUUACUUGGGUCGGGUCUUUUGGUACCAAUAAGGUAAACGCAAAUGUCUUGCACUUCAACGUAGAUUGUCAUUCCUAGUAAAUUUACUUAAAAAAAAAUUAGUGAAAUACUAGUAAUAUGCGUGGUGAUAAUAUAUAAUUUUUAUUUUUAAUUUAAUAUA